CUGAACUAAUAUAAAACAUUAAAAUUACCAGAAAAUAUGUGGAUUAUGAAUGAAAUGGAAACCUUAGCUUGAUUAUAUCAAGGUUAUUUGGAUCACCAUGGGCUGACAAUUGGGACGUCCACAACCAUGCUUAAUUGAUCAAAUAGCCCACCUAGACGUGAGAAACUGAUAUGAGAUGUACCGAGACCAGUUCUCCUACAUGAUUUUAUUAUCGUCUUUAAUUACAAAAAAGGCCGGUUUCACAUGAAAAUCAUUAUGAGAAGUAAAGGCCCACCAAUCUACAGCCAUAUAUACCUCUUUUUUUUUUUCUUUACCAAAGGAUGUAGCACCCCGGCCUCUAGCGCAUAUUUAUACUGCAUGCUCGCAUGUAGAAAAUGCAAGCUCUAGGCUCUAGCUACCCACAGUUAAAACACAUAUAUCCUUUUCUUUCUGUUGCUAUACCUCAAGUAGGUACGCAAAGAAAAACAGAGUCUUAGGGAAUAGGAGGCAUCAGGAGAGACGCAUCUAUUGCUGUGGCAAACUAGCGAGGUUCAUGGCCAAUAACUUGCACUUUCAUGCAUGAUGUUGGAAAAUUGGAGGCAAGGAGAAGCAGGGGCGCAAGUCAUAGCAGGAGUGGACCUGAGGUGAGGUCAACUUUCAAGACGCUUGCACUAGCGGAAUCGCAGGGACCAACGGUGCAUUAGGGGGCAGAGUGGAAGCUUUAACAUCGCAGAGGCGACCCUGCAACCUCGGCUAUGGAUGAAGGCUGCUCCACUGCUGCUACCGGCAAAUUUGGAGGAUAUAGAUUGAUUGGCGGCA
rnacentral:lncRNA from 1 species